GGAGGCCUGUGAGUUUGCGCA
rnacentral:snRNA from 1 species